UACGUAGGGUGCGAGCGUUAAUCGGAAUUACUGGGCGUAAAGCGUGCGCAGGCGGUUCGCCAAGUCAGGUGUGAAAUCCCCGGGCUUAACCUGGGAAUUGCGCUUGAAACUAGCGGGCUUGAGUGUGGCGGAGGGGGGUGGAAUUCCACGUGUAGCAGUGAAAUGCGUAGAGAUGUGGAGGAACACCGAUGGCGAAGGCAGCCCCCUGGGUCAACACUGACGCUCAUGCACGAAAGCGUGGGGAGCAAACAGG
rnacentral:rRNA from 1 species